CGAUAAGACCUCCACCUGGCGAAGCAGCCACGAAACAAUUAAUUAGUGAAGCAACCGAGAAGAAAAAAGAGAAACAUCUCUAGGUGAACGAUCCUAUUUCUGUUUUGAGCACGGAUGGAGAAAGAGCGUGAAAGAAGCCAAGAGACCCCAGUCCACUCUAGUUAAUUGUCAUGACCUUUCCCCUCUGAAUCCUCUGUACAGGAAAUGUCUAAAAUACCCAGGGAUGAGGCAGGAAAUGAGUGUGGGGGUUCGGGGGACCAAGUUCCCGGAACAUUGGGGAUGUCUCUAGAUUGCUGUAGAAUGGACAAGGGAUCGCGCCACAAUAUUGUCAUAAUAAUAUUUUGAACCGUCAAACUUACACUGAAUAAUGGCAUAAUAUCCUGUCGUCUACGGUUAUUAACGGGAUUUAAUAUUAUGUGAAAAGUAAUAAAAUUUAAUUUCGUAAGAGUUAAAAAUAAUUAAUAAAAUUAUUUCGUUUGUUUUCGACGGUUUGGCCAGUUUUAAAUGUUUGGCGCUUCCAAAAUAUAUAUAUUCUACGCUUGGAAAAAUAAUAAAGGAGAAAAACCAGUUUAAGAUUUACCAGGAAGAGACGUAAAAAGAUUAUAGAUCACACUUUACGAAAGGCCGACAAAUUAUUUAAUAUGAUUAUCGAUUGGUUAUUCACUCUUUUUUCACAAAGGGGCUUUUCAUCCUCCGUGGCAGGAUCCUCCAACACUCCGCAAUUAGGAGAAGACAAAAUUCGAAGCGAUCUUUUCACGCAUCCGCACUAGCCUUAUAGCCUAGAGACCCACUUCGCUUAGGCACACCAUCGGCGCCCACUCGCCCUAAAUCAAAGAUCUCGUCCGGGAGAAGGGGGAAAAAAGUCCUUAAAAACAACAGACAGUAGUUCGACCUUAAAGCAGCACCUGUCGUCGUCUCCCGUAGCAACGCCAACCCCUACAAACUCCGCUCGGGACAUUUUCCCAACACCCCCACGGGAUUAUCAAUCGACUGGUCCGUUGGUCUUGUGCGCUCCGUUCACUAACCAUUGCCGAUGACGUCGGUUGUGUUGUGACGGACGGCGUGAACCACGUGUGUGUGUAGUGUGUGUUGGACGAAAAACGUCUUUCCAAGGUACAUUUUUGGACGGAAAAAUUUUUUGAAAAUCUAUAAAAAUAUGCAAAUUGUCGGAACCUAUAGUAUAUUGCAGAAUUGGACUAUCAUCAAUAUUAAAAAUUUCUAAAUUUUUUCGUUGUGUGUGUAUGUGUAUGUGUGUUUACGUGUAUAUGUGUGUGUUGUGAUUAUCGUUUGUACUUUCA